rnacentral:rRNA from 1 species
UACGAAGGGGUGCAAGCGUUGUCCGGAAUUAUUGGCGUAAAGAGCUCGUAGGCGGUCUGUUGCGGUCGGACCUGGUGAAAACCCGGGGCUCAACUCCGGGCCUGCAGCCGAUACGGGCAGACUAGAGUUCGGCAGGGGAGACUGGAAUUCCUGGUGUAGCGGUGAAAUGCGCAGAUAAUCAGGAGGAACACCGAUGGCGAAGGCAAUCCCCUGGGCCCUGCGACUGCGCUCAUGCACGAA